GCGUAUUCCAUAGUUAGGGACUUUGAUGAGGAAUAAUUUGGUUGUCAUGCGUAUCCCAUUCAAUCCAAUGAAUCUAGGGAAAUCUGAAAGUUAAUUUAAGCGAACCUAAUUAACUUGGAGCAUUGUCAUUCAUUGUUUGUUGAAGUCAUAACUGGGAAUCAAAUUAUAUGCAUAUGUUCAUGUGUGGAUAAGGAACCCUCUAACUAAGUUUCUCAUUAUUCUAUUUCAUCACAAUCUGUUUUGUUUGAAGUUUGUUUACAAGUCUCUGUUUUAAUUUCAAUUUCGUAAAAAUUAAUCCCCCAUUUAUUUUAAAGUGUUAGAUUAGUUAGAAAUUAAUUUAGUUUGUGUUUUUAAGUGUCUUGAGUCAAGUUAUAGUCCAAUUUCGUCCAAAUUAGUGUUAGGUGCUCAAAACUGCCCAGAAAGUGUUUUUAAGGCAGUUUUGAGUGUUUUGAGUGCUGUUUGAGUCUUUUGGUUUGUUUUAGUGUUUUAGAGUUUAGUUUUGCAUUCUUUGAGUCUAUUUUAGUGUUCUACAUUAUGUUUUUACGUUUUGAGUCAGUUUCACAUUGAUUAGCAUCCCUAGUUAAUCCCCGGUCUAGAACGAUCCCUAUUUGCUCAUAUACUACAAUUGUCAUCCAUAGGGUUUAAUUUGUGUGUCAAGUUAAUUUUCACAUCACAUCCUUCAGCAAACUUGACUCUCUAAGCUCCCUAAUCUCUUGAAUUUUCAGCCCUUUCUUGAUUUCUUUUCUCCCAAGUUCAACAAUGGCUCCCAAAUCGCGCACUGCAUGUGAGUCUAAAGAAAGGAUUAUCACCAAGCACCGUCAGCUCAAUGGCCUUCAUCGCCCUUGGGUUGGCCUUAAUCUAUCUAUUUUCUUAAAGGAAGAAGAAGUACAUUCCCUGGGGCCUGCCUGGACUGCCCAAAUUCCUGUUGC
rnacentral:lncRNA from 1 species